AAAAAGACAAACCCUGAGUUUUCGUGUCCAACUUUGACUGUCCGUCUUAUAUGAAAUUUUUUUAUAAUUCGUAUUUUCAUUGUUGUUAGAUGAUAAAACAUGAUUAAUAUUUUGUGCGUGACUUGUCUUUUUAAUUUUUUUCAUAAUUUUUUCGAAUAAGACAGACGGUCAAACGUUGAACAUGGAACUU
rnacentral:pre_miRNA from 1 species